UUUACAAUACAUUACAGUUAUGUCCCUUACUGCAGAUUUGAAGAUAUCCCAGAUAUCUCUAGAAUCUCUGGUAUUUUAGAGUGGCAAACACCAUGGAGGUGGAAGUAGCUUGUACAAAAAAUACAUGAACUAUAUAAAAGGAACUAAUUUUAAUUUUUUGGGUACCUAAGGCAAUAGUUGUGUUUUUAAUAUGCCAAUCUUUGAAAUUGUUACUAAUUGUGUCCAGGUGAACUAAGUGAGAUGAUGUACAUGUAUAUGGCCGAUCUUGUUCAGUUUUAAAGUUAUUCCUGGUACAUGUAUGUGAGGAAUUGAGACAUUUAUUAACAUGGAUUUUAUAUUUCAAGAAAGUGAUUUCAUCAACUAAGUGAUGUGGAACGCAGCUGCAGUUAAUCAAUUUACCAAUCAUACUGGAACCAUUCAGAUUGGGAUUUACACGUGUUUUGAAUUGAUUCUUGGUUAAUAAAAAGAUGAUAAUAACUUUCAAUGGAUCAACUAUUUGAUCAUGUUCAUUUGUUUUUAUGAUAAUCAUAAUAAAAUAUUUCAUAUCAACAUUUAA